CGAUAAGAGAGACCAAACACCAGUAAAAAUACAAAUGAAUUAGUGUUACUAAUUCAACACUAAUUCAUGUGGUCCAAAUGAAAAGUUUUAAAGACAAAUAGAUUCCUAUAAAUCGGGUAGAUAUUCAUAAAAUGUUCUUCCGUAUCAGAUGUAGGGACAUUUAUUUGGACCGGAUUCUCAAUAGCAAUCCAUUUAUGCAGUUUGGUUUUAUCAUUUCA
rnacentral:lncRNA from 1 species